UCUCAUCAUUUACUUUGUUUUUCAUAUUAAUACUAUUGAAAAAGGGGCACCGGUAUCGAAAUUCCCAAGCGGACUGUGGACCGACGAGACUCGGGACCCCGGAGACUAGAGCCUAAAGUCGUGUCCUCGGUCCUCGGAUUUCGUUCUGCACAAUAAAUUAUCUACCUUGAGGAGUGUAAUCUGGUCCUCCCUGAGAAGGUCACCAAACCCAGUCAGGCGCUUGGAGAACUCUAUGAUCAGUUCUACUGUCAAGAUGGUCAUCUUAGUGAUGUGUUCGAACUUGGGAUCUUCAGAGUCGCCGUCAGAUAUUCCAAUUUCCUAGAAGGAGCCAAAGGAACCACUUACUUACAAGAGCUGCUUCUAUGUUUCCUUAAAACUGAUGGUGGCAGACAUGGAGAAAAUCAUUACCAGCGCUGAUUAUCGUCCCUGGAUUAUUUGCAAUGAGUAUGAACUUUAACUGAGCAAACUGGUGGAAAAAAAUAAUGACACGUGGAUGGAAACAUCAUCACGUCACAGGUUUCUGCAUCUCUAAAAUAAGAGUUACUCUUAAAUUAGUCUCGAAUGCACUUCGUUGCCACAGACAUAAUCAUCAAACUGUGAAUGACUUUCUCCAAUUGGGUCUCUGUUGUCCGGGAGGCUCCAAGGAUCUCUGAAAGGAAGACUCCUGGGUUUCUUUCAGUCAUCAGAUUUACCAACACAACCUAUCUCAACUUAAUAGGUUUCUUCUACACUGUUUAGGUUUUGUAAACCCAGCAGUCUCCCAAAGGCCAUAAGAAAAAAAAAACAAAAAUUAGUUUCCCCCAUACUAAAUUUGCUCUUCGAUACACCUUGAGCAGUGAAAUCUUAUCUUCUUGCUGAAGAGUAGAGAAGCCUGGCAGUUGCUUGGAGAAUUCUACUAUGAGCUGAACUGUGAGGAGCGUCAUCUCGGUAAUUUCCUUGAAUUUCAUGUCACUUGCCUCACCCUCGAAGCAAAACUGAAGAAAGGAAACAGAAGCCAUAUGGCAAGGAAAUGACCCAAAUGAUUCACAAGAAACAAGGGAACACAACAAUCUUAGUGUUCAAUUCAUGAAUAUAAGGCAGUGGUAUAUGUACAUGUCUUGUUAGUCAGAGCCCUGUAUAUAUAAUGAAAUAUAUCUUUCAGAGAGUAAUAGGUGCUAAGUGAAUUUAUGAGAUGAAAUAAACUAAAAGAAAGUAUAUAGCUUACUGGACUACCCACUCAAGUUAACUAAUAUAAAAUAUGCAAUAGCUCCUUUGUCUUCUUUGAGUUUGCAUUCAACCUAUUUGCAUU